CUGAUAGCUCAACUAUUAGGCUUCGGGGGUACGUGCCAGACGUGGAACCGGGAGAGGUAAGAGGUACUACAGGGGUAGGAGUGAAAUCUUGUAAUCCCUGUGGGACCACCUGUGGCGAAGGCGUCUUACCAGAACGGGUUCGACGGUGAGGGACGAAAGCUGGGGGCACGAACCGGAUUAGAUACCCGGGUAGUCCCAGCCGUAAACGAUGCUCGCUAGGUGUCAGGCAUGGCGCGACCGUGUCUGGUGCCGCAGGGAAGCCGUGAAGCGAGCCACCUGGGAAGUACGGCCGCAAGGCUGAAACUUAAAGGAAUUGGCGGGGGAGCACAACAACGGGUGGAGCCUGCGGUUUAAUUGGACUCAACGCCGGACAACUCACCGGGGGCGACAGCAAUAUGUAGGCCAAGCUGAAGACUUUGCCUGAAUCGCUGAGAGAAGAGGUGCAUGG
rnacentral:rRNA from 1 species